ACCAACCGAGUGGCCUUAUGUGAUGAAGUGACUACAUCAGUGGACAAGGGAAGGGUUACAGAUGUCAUUUAUCUGGAUUCCCUCUCUGCUGUGCCUCUG